AAUCAACGCUGGCGGCGUGCCUAACACAUGCAAGUCGAACGAGAAAGUGUAGCAAUACAUGAGUAAAGUGGCGACCGGGUGAGUAACACGUGACUAACCUACCCUAGAGUGGGGAAUAACCUCGGGAAACCGGGGCUAAUACCGCAUAAAGUCCAGAGGCUGAAAUGCCAUUGGACCAAAGGAGUAAUUCGCUCAAGGAGGGGUCGCGGUUGAUUAGCUAGUUGGUGGGGUAAGUGGCCCACCAAGGCGAUGAUCAAUAGCCGGCCUGAGAGGGCGCACGGCCACACUGGAACUGAAACACGGUCCAGACUCCUACGGGAGGCAGCAGUGGGGAAUUGUUCGCAAUGGGCGCAAGCCUGACGGCGCAACGCCGCGUGGAGGAUGAAGAUUUUCGGAUCGUAAACUCCUGUCGAA
rnacentral:rRNA from 1 species